GACGAACGCUGGCGGCGUGCUUAACACAUGCAAGUCGUACGGUAAGGCCCUUUCGGGGGUACACGAGUGGCGAACGGGUGAGUAACACGUGAGUAACCUGCCCACAACUUUGGGAUAACGCUAGGAAACUGGUGCUAAUACUGGAUAUGUGCUCCUGCUGCAUGGUGGGGGUUGGAAAGCUCCGGCGGUUGUGGAUGGACUCGCGGCCUAUCAGCUUGUUGGUGGGGUAGUGGCCUACCAAGGCGGCGACGGGUAGCCGGCCGGAGAGGGUGACCGGCCACAUUGGGACUGAGAUACGGCCCAGACUCCUACGGGAGGCAGCAGGGGGGAAUAUUGCACAAGGGGCGCAAGCCUGAUGCAGCAACGCCGCGGGCGGGAUGACGGCCUUCGGGUUGUAAACCGCUUUCAGCAGGGACGAAGCUUUUUGUGACGGUACCUGCAGAAGAAGCACCGGCUAACUACGUG
rnacentral:rRNA from 1 species